GUUCGGGUCCAUGAAUGUAGAGUUUGCAGAUUUUGAAUAAUUCUUCCAUGAAUUCUGUUGGGAAAACGCCCAUGAGAAUGAAAAACAAUGAUCUGAGCAGGGAGAUAAUAAUUCAGCAAGAAAGUAAGAAAUGAAUUGAACCUGAUGAGUGUUAGCUUGGCUUUUGACCAAAACAAUGUCGAGAUGAUGCGUGAUUCUAGUCCAAUGGUCAUGUGGUCGGAUGAUCAAGAUUGUGAUUCAGAUUAGAUGAUUCAGGUUGUACACUUUGAACGCAUUUGCAAAACAUAACCUAACACCGUUGAGGUGUUAUGUCCCAGAUAUUUUGAUAGUUAGGUCAAUCUCUAAUAGAUCAUACUAUUCUCUUUUAACACUUUGAGGAUAUUUGGUGGUCUGCUAUGGAGUGAGUUUAUAAUAUAAUAUAAUCCAAGUAUUUUGAGGGUAUUCGGUGGUUAGUUAUGGAGUGAGUUUAUAAUGUAAUGUAAUCCAAAUACUUUGAUGAUAUUUGAUGGUCUGUUAUGGAGGAUAUUUGGUGGUCUGUUAUGAAUUAUGGGUUUGUCA